rnacentral:rRNA from 1 species
UACGUAGGGGUCAAGCGUUGUCCGGAUUUAUUGGGCGUAAAGCGCGUGUAGGCGGCCCCACAGGUCCGCUGUGAAAACUCGAGGCUCAACCUCGAGCUGUCGGUGGAAACCGUGUGGCUAGAGUCCGGAAGAGGAGACUGGAAUUCCCGGUGUAGCGGUGGAAUGCGCAGAUAUCGGGAGGAACACCCGUGGCGAAGGCGGGUCUCUGGGACGGUACUGACGCUGAGACGCGAAAGCGUGGGGAGCGAACAGG